GAAGGUGUGGCACAAUGGCAGAGUUCUUGCCUGGCAUGCACAAGGCCCUGGGUUCAAUCCCCAGCACUGUAA
rnacentral:tRNA from 1 species